ACUGCAAGCUCCGCCUCCCGGGUUCAUGCCAUUCUCCUGCCUCAGCCUCCUGAGUAGCUGGGACUACAGACACCCACCACCACAUCCGGCUAAUUUUUUGUAUUUUUAGUAGAGACGGGGUUUCACUGUGUUGGCCAGGAUGGUCUUGAUCUCCUGAUCUCGUGAUCCUCCCACCUCGGCCUCCUGAAGUGCUGGGAUUACAGGCGUGAGCCACCCGCCCAGCUGAGAAGAACGCCCAGCUCCUGGGCGCGGCUCAGCAGCUCCUCAGCCACUGCCAAGCCCAGAAGGAGGAGAUCAGGAGGCUGUUCCAGCAAAAAUUGGAUGAGCUGGGCGUGAAGGCGCUGACCUACAACGACCUGAUUCAAGCGCAGAAGGAGAUCUCCGCCCAUAACCAGCAGCUGCGGGAGCAGUCAGAGCAGCUGGAACAGGACAACCGCGCGCUCCGCAGCCAGAGCUUGCAGCUGCUCAAGGCUCGCUGCGAGGAGCUGCAGCUGGACUGGGCCACACUGUCGCUGGAGAAGCUGCUGAAGGAGAAGCAGGCCCUGAAGAGCCAGAUCUCGGAAAAG
rnacentral:sRNA from 1 species